AUUGAACGCUGGCGGCAUGCCUAACACAUGCAAGUCGAACGAGUGGCGGACGGGUGAGUAAUGUCUGGGAAACUGCCUGAUGGAGGGGGAUAACUACUGGAAACGGUCGCUAAUACCGCAUACCAUCAGAUGCGCCCUCAUUGGAUUAGCUAGUUGGUGGGGUAACGGCUCACCAAGGCGACGAUCCCUAGCUGGUCUGAGAGGAUGACCAGCCACACUGGAACUGAGACACGGUCCAGACUCCUACGGGAGGCAGCAGUGGGGAAUAUUGCACAAUGGACGCAAGCCUGAUGGAGCCAUGCCGCGUGAAUGAAGAAGGCCUUCGGGUUGUAAAGUACUUUCGGCGGGGAGGCGUUACCCGCAGAGGAAGCACCGGCUAACUCCGUGCCAGCAGCCGCGGUAAUAC
rnacentral:rRNA from 1 species